AGCAUUAAAGAAUAUUAUGAUGAACACAUCUGCUGGGUAUAAACAAGCUCUGUAGCCAGUCCAUAUCUGGUACAGAAGCACAUGACAUAGUGUUAGGAGUAAACCAAGAACAGACACAGAAGAAAAACAGCAACUCAGGUUACAGACAGAAGGAACAAAGCAACAAAGGUGGCAGGAUCUCAUCAAUAUGUCACUCGUCAAAGCUCCAGAGAACUUCAGCUUUGACCAACUUUCACAACGGGCAGACUGGAAGCAGUAUUUGGCAAGAUUUUGAAUUACAAACAAACUCUACAAAGAAACUGGAGAUACACAGUGAUUGGAAUGCUGUAGAACUCCUCAUUUCUCAUCAUCACACAGUCAGCUUUGCAUUACUGCUUUUUGAGUUUCUUUCAGGCAUCUCUUUGGGGUGGAGAGGCUAUCUUUUCAGCCAACUGAAGACAAAAUGGAGGGGUUUCCAGGGCCUUUUAUAUUCUCCCUCUUGUGGGUGGAAACCCCUUUGUUCUCCUGUGCAAAAUCACAACAACAAGAUGGAGUCUGUAGCCACUGGGACUUCAGAUCUCUUCCUGUUUCUGAUAAUUGAGGCACUGGUCCUGCGUGGUGCUGAGCAACACUGGCCUAUAAAAUGUGAGAUCAGAUAGAAAUGGGGAAGACAGACCAGCUCUACAUAACAUGUGUGUUUUAUUUGGGUUCUCCAUGGGAAAAUGUAUGUGCACUAAUGACCAAAUCCUGAGCUCAGUCUUGUACAUCCUCACCUGCUAUAUCGAUGGGAGUUUUUCCUGUGUAAGGCAUGAGUCUGAAGGCUAGAUCACUUCCUCCCACAGAAAUACACAAGAAAAAAUUCUCAAAAAAAAAAAAAAAGAAAAGGAGUACUUGUGGCACCUUAGAGACUAACCAAUUUAUUUGAGCAUGAGCUUUCGUGAGCUACAGCUCACUUCAUCAGAUGUAUACCGUGGAAACUGCAGCAGACUUUAUAUAUACACAGAGAAUAUGAAACAAUACCUCCUCCCACCCCACUGUCCUGCUGGUAAUAGCUUAUCUAAAGUGAUCAUCAGGUGGGCCAUUUCUCAGAGUCCCUGGAACCUCUCUGUCUCAGGGCUUGUUGACACUUGCAGAUGUAGAGCGCUUUGGGUUAAACCUCUUUGGAGAGCACAGUAGCGAAA